GAACGGAAAGGCUCCUUGCUUGCAAGGGGUACUCGAGUGGCGAACGGGUGAGUAACACGUGGGUGAUCUGCCUUGCACUUCGGGAUAAGCCUGGGAAACUGGGUCUAAUACCGGAUAGGACCAUGCUUUAGUGUGUGGUGGAAAGUUUUUUCGGUGCAAGAUGAGCCCGCGGCCUAUCAGCUUGUUGGUGGGGUAAUGGCCUACCAAGGCGACGACGGGUAGCCGGCCUGAGAGGGUGUACGGCCACAUUGGGACUGAGACACGGCCCAGACUCCUACGGGAGGCAGCAGUGGGGAAUAUUGCACAAUGGGCGCAAGCCUGAUGCAGCGACGCCGCGUGGGGGAUGAAGGCCUUCGGGUUGUAAACUCCUUUCGCUAGGGAAGAAGCCACUUGUGGUGACGGUACCUGGAUAAGAAGCACCGGCUAACUACGUGCCAGCAGCCGCGGUAAUACGUAGGGUGCGAGCGUUGUCCGGAAUUACUGGGCGUAAAGAGCUCGUAGGUGGUUUGUCGCGUCGUCUGUGAAAUCCCGGGGCUUAACUUCGGGCGUGCAGGCGAUACGGGCAUAACUAGAGUGCUGUAGGGGAGACUGGAAUUCCUGGUGUAGCGGUGAAAUGCGCAGAUAUCAGGAGGAACACCGAUGGCGAAGGCA
rnacentral:rRNA from 1 species